rnacentral:rRNA from 1 species
CGGACGGGUGAGUAACGCGUGAGAAUCUGCCUUUAGGACGGGGACAACAGUUGGAAACGGCUGCUAAAACCCGAUGUGCCCUUCGGGGUGAAAUAUUUAUAGCCUGAAGAUGAGCUCGCGUCUGAUUAGCUAGUAGGUGCGGUAAUGGCGCACCUAGGCGACGAUCAGUAACUGGUCUGAGAGGAUGACCAGUCACACUGGGACUGAGACACGGCCCAG